UACGUAGGUGGCGAGCGUUGUCCGGAUUUACUGGGCGUAAAGGGAGCGUAGGCGGACUUUUAAGUGAGAUGUGAAAUACCCGGGCUCAACUUGGGUGCUGCAUUUCAAACUGGAAGUCUAGAGUGCAGGAGAGGAGAAUGGAAUUCCUAGUGUAGCGGUGAAAUGCGUAGAGAUUAGGGAGAACACCAGUGGCGAAGGCGAUUCUCUGGACUGUAACUGACGCUGAGGCUCGAAAGCGUGGGGAGCAAACAGGAUUAGAUACCCCGGUAGU
rnacentral:rRNA from 1 species